rnacentral:lncRNA from 1 species
UUCUUCAGUGUGGCAACAGUCACUUCCUGCCCUGGUCAGCCCAGGUGGCCCACCUGUCAUCCCUUUCCCCCUUUGGGGAGGUGUCUUUGCAGCCGCAGCUGCCCCAACACGGCCCCUCGGGGCUGCACAUGGGGUUGAAUGAAUCCUUGUUUAUAUCUUCUGUUGCUUUUCGUUCCUCUCCCAAGCUGGGAGCUGGGUGGACUUCUCCUCCUGGAAGCUCUGGAGGAAGGAAACUAUCCAGAUGGCUAAAGGGUCUGUUUUCCGGAAAAUCGUGGCUGGGCUGGAGAGAGUAAGACACACAGCUCCUAUUUAUCGAGCCCUUACUGCGUGCCAGACAGGGCCGCCGUGAAGAGCUGCGGAGGACGAGACUGAUGAAGCAGGAUGUGAAGAGCGCCCCCCGGAGCUGUGCAAGGCUCCAAAGAGGAGGGCCGGGCCACAGUGUGAAACGCUCUCCGAGGAAUCCUGCUGGGGUGACAGGGCUCGGAAGAAAAAGGCAGAUGGCUCCCCACUGCCCUCGGGAUGACAUCCAACCUGCCUGCCUGCUGGAUUAACAAAGGCCAUCCUCCUCCCAUUUCCGGGCACUGCUCUGGCCCGCGCCCUUG